AUGCUCAGUGAUUAUAAAAAGACGCGUUAUUCUGAGGAUGCAAACUGCCACCAGUUUCUUUCCUUUGCUUCUCCGCUUCACUCCCUUCAUCUUACACUCUUCCUCUUCCUUUUCCUCACACUGGUUGGUGGUCCACUGACUGUGAUUAUGAGAUCUGAGAGCAU